rnacentral:miRNA from 1 species
AUGUUAUUUUUUGGAGAAGUCGU